UACGUAGGGGGCAAGCGUUGUCCGGAUUUAUUGGGCGUAAAGGAUGCGUAGGUGGCGUGGUAAGUCGGGUGUGAAAUUUCGGAGCUUAACUCCGAAACUGCAUUCGAUACUGCCGUGCUUGAGGACUGGAGAGGAGACUGGAAUUCAUGGUGUAGCAGUGAAAUGCGUAGAGAUCAUGAGGAAGACCAGUGGCGAAGGCGGGUCUCUGGACAGUUCCUGACACUGAGACACGAAGGCCAGGGGAGCAAACGGG
rnacentral:rRNA from 1 species